GAGUACACGUUGGAACCUGCCCCAAAGUGAGGAAUAAGCCACCGAAAGGUGGUCUAAUACUUCAUAAUAUCCAUCUCGUAUGGAUUAAAGCUUUAUGCGCUUUGGGAGGGGCCUGCGUAACAUUAGCUAGUUGGUGAGGUAAAAGCUCACCAAGGCUUCGAUGUUUAACUGGUUUGAGAGGAUGACCAGUCACACUGGACUGAGAUACGGCCCAGACUCCUACGGGAGGCAGCAGUAAGGAAUCUUCCACAAUGGGGGCAACCCUGAUGGAGCAAUACCGCGUGCAGGAUGAAGCGUUUCGGCGUGUAAACUGCUUUUAUCACCGAAGAUUAUGACUGUAAGUGAAGAAUAAGGACCGGCUAACUACGUG
rnacentral:rRNA from 1 species